rnacentral:lncRNA from 1 species
GUUAGGUACUGUGGUGUUGGGGUUAGGUACUGUGGUGUUGGGGUUAGGUACUGUGGUGUUGGAGUUAGGUACUGUGGUGUUGGGGUUAGGUACUGUGGUGUUGUGGUUAGGUACUGUGGUGUUGGGGUUAGGUACUGUGGUGUUGGAGUUAGGUUCUGUGGUGUUGGGGUUAGGUACUGUACUGUGGUGUUGGAGUUAGGUACUGUACUGUGGUGUUGGGGUUAGGUACUGUGGUGUUGGAGUUAGGUACUGUGGUGUUGGGGUUAGGUACUGUGGUGUUUGGGUUAGGUACUGUGGUGUUGGGGUUAGGUACUGUGGUGUUGGGUUAGGUACUGUGGUGUUGGGGUUAGGUACUGUACUGUGGUGUUGGAGUUAGGUACUGUGGUGUUGGGGUUAGGUACUGUACUGUGGUGUUGGGGUUAGGUACUGUACUGUGGUGUUGGGGUUAGGUACUGUGGUGUUGGGGUUAGGUACUGUGGUGUUGGGGUUAGGUACUGUGGUUUUGGGGUUAGG